GCGUAACGCGUGGGAACCUGCCCUUAGGUUCGGAAUAACUCAGAGAAAUUUGAGCUAAUACCGGAUAAUGUCUUCGGACCAAAGAUUUAUCGCCUUUGGAUGGGCCCGCGUUGGAUUAGAUAGUUGGUGGGGUAACGGCCUACCAAGUCGACGAUCCAUAGCUGGUCUGAGAGGAUGAUCAGCCACACUGGGACUGAGACACGGCCCAGACUCCUACGGGAGGCAGCAGUGGGGAAUAUUGGACAAUGGGCGAAAGCCUGAUCCAGCAAUGCCGCGUGAGUGAUGAAGGCCUUAGGGUUGUAAAGCUCUUUUACCAGGGAUGAUAAUGACAGUACCUGGAGAAUAAGCUCCGGCUAACUCCGUGCCAGCAGCCGCGGUAAUACGGAGGGAGCUAGCGUUGUUCGGAAUUACUGGGCGUAAAGCGCACGUAGGCGGCUUUUCAAGUCAGGGGUGAAAUCCCGGGGCUCAACCCCGGAACUGCCCUUGAAACUGGAUGGCUAGAAUACUGGAGAGGUGAGUGGAAUUCCGAGUGUAGAGGUGAAAUUCGUAGAUAUUCGGAAGAACACCAGUGGCGAAGGCGACUCACUGGACAGUUAUUGACGCUGAGGUGCGAAAGCGUGGGGGAGCAAACAGGAUUAGAUACCCUGGUAGUCCACGCCGUAUACGAUGAUAACUAGCUGUCCGGGCUCAUGGAGCUUGGGUGGCGCAGCUAACGCAUUAAGUUAUCCGCCUGGGGAGUACGGUCGCAAGAGUAAUACUCAAAGGAAUUGACGGGGG
rnacentral:rRNA from 1 species